rnacentral:rRNA from 1 species
AUUGAACGCUGGCGGCAUGAUUUACACAUGCAAGUCGAACGGUAACAGGCCGCAAGGUGCUGACGAGUGGCGAGCGGGUGAGUAAUGCAUCGGAACGUGCCCAGUCGUGGGGGAUAACUACUCGAAAGAGUAGCUAAUACCGCAUACGAUCUAUGGAUGAAAGCGGGGGACCGUAAGGCCUCGCGCGAUUGGAGCGGCCGAUGUCAGAUUAGGUAGUUGGUGGGGUAAAGGCUCACCAAGCCAACGAUCUGUAGCUGGUCUGAGAGGACGACCAGCCACACUGGGACUGAGACACGGCCCAGACUCCUACGGGAGGCAGCAGUGGGGAAUUUUGGACAAUGGGCGCAAGCCUGAUCCAGCAAUGCCGCGUGCAGGAAGAAGGCCUUCGGGUUGUAAACUGCUUUUGUACGGAACGAAACGGCUCUGGUUAAUACCCGGGGCUAAUGACGGUACCGUAAGAAUAAGCACCGGCUAACUACGUG